rnacentral:rRNA from 1 species
GGGCGUAAAGAGCUCGUAGGUGGUUUGUCGCGUUGUUCGUGAAAUCUCACGGCUUAACUGUGAGCGUGCGGGCGAUACGGGCAGACUUGAGUACUGCAGGGGAGACUGGAAUUCCUGGUGUAGCGGUGGAAUGCGCAGAUAUCAGGAGGAACACCGGUGGCGAAGGCGGGUCUCUGGGCAGUAACUGACGCUGAGGAGCGAAAGCGUGGGGAGCGAACAGGAUUAGAUACCCUGGUAGUCCACGCCGUAAACGGUGGGUACUAGGUGUGGGUUUCCUUCCUUGGGAUCCGUGCCGUAGCUAACGCAUUAAGUACCCCGCCUGGGGAGUACGGCCGCAAGGCUAAAACUCAAAGAAAUUGACGGGGGCCCGCACAAGCGGCGGAGCAUGUGGAUUAAUUCGAUGCAACGCGAAGAACCUUACCUGGGUUUGACAUGCACAGGACGCCGGCAGAGAUGUCGGUUCCCUUGUGGCCUGUGUGCAGGUGGUGCAUGGCUGUCGUCAGCUCGUGUCGUGAGAUGUUGGGUUAAGUCCCGCAACGAGCGCAACCCUUGUCUCAUGUUGCCAGCGGGUAAUGCCGGGGAGUGGUGAGAGACUGCCGGGGUUAACUCGGAGGAAGGUGGGGAUGACGUCAAGUCAUCAUGCCCCUUAUGUCCAGGGCUUCACACAUGCUACAAUGGCCGGUACAAAGGGCUGCGAUGCCGCGAGGUUAAGCGAAUCCUUUUAAAGCCGGUCUCAGUUCGGAUCGGGGUCUGCAACUCGACCCCGUGAAGUCGGAGUCGCUAGUAAUCGCAGAUCAGCACGC